AGAGUUUGACCUGGCUCAGGAUGAACGCUGGCGGUAUGCUUAACACAUGCAAGUCGAACCGUCCCUUCGGUGAUAGUGGCGGACGGGUGAGUAACGCCGUAGGAUCUAGCUCUAGGUCGGGGACAACCACUGGAACGGUGGCUAAUACCGGAUGAGCCGAAGGUAAAAGAUUAAUUGCCUAGAGAUGAGCUCGCGUCUGAUUAGCUAGUAGGUGUGGUAAGAGCGCACCUAGGCGACGAUCAGUAGCUGGUCUGAGAGGAUGAUCAGCCACACUGGGACUGAGACACGGCCCAGACUCCUACGGGAGGCAGCAGUGGGGAAUUUUCCGCAAUGGGCGAAAGCCUGACGGAGCAAUACCGCGUGAGGGAGGAAGGCUCUUGGGUUGUAAACCUCUUUUCUCAGGGAAUAAGAACUGAAGGUACCUGAGGAAUAAGCAUCGGCUAACUCCGUGCCAGCAGCCGCGGUAAUACGGAGGAUGCAAGCGUUAUCCGGAAUGAUUGGGCGUAAAGGGUCCGCAGGUGGCCUUGUAAGUCUGCUGUUAAAGAGUGAGGCUUAACCUCAUAAAAGCAGUGGAAACUACAAAGCUAGAGUGCGUUCGGGGUAGCAGGAAUUCCUGGUGUAGCGGUGAAAUGCGUAGAGAUCAGGAAGAACACCGGUGGCGAAAGCGUGCUACUAGGCCGUAACUGACACUGAGGGACGAAAGCUAGGGGAGCGAAUGGGAUUAGAUACCCCAGUAGUCCUAGCCGUAAACGAUGGAUACUAGGCGUGGCUUGUAUCGACCCGAGCCGUGCCGGAGCUAACGCGUUAAGUAUCCCGCCUGGGGAGUACGCACGCAAGUGUGAAACUCAAAGGAAUUGACGGGGGCCCGCACAAGCGGUGGAGUAUGUGGUUUAAUUCGAUGCAACGCGAAGAACCUUACCAAGACUUGACAUGUCGCGAAUCCUCUUGAAAGGGAGGAGUGCCUUCGGGAGCGCGAACACAGGUGUUGCAUGGCUGUCGUCCACUCGUGUCGUGAGAUGUUGGGUUAAGUCCCGCACCAAGCGCAACCCUCGUUUUUAGUUGCCAGCAUUAAGUUGGGCACUCUAGAGAGACUGCCGGUGACAAACCGGAGGAAGGUGGGGAUGACGUCAAGUCAGCAUGCCCCUUACGUCUUGGGCUACACACGUACUACAAUGCUACGGACAAAGGGCAGCUACACAGCGAUGUGAUGCAAAUCUCAGAAACCGUAGCUCAGUUCAGAUCGAAGCUUGCAACUCAGCUUCGUGAAGGAGGAAUCGCUAGUAAUUGCAGGUCAGCAUACUGCAGUGAAUUCGUUCCCGGGCCUUGUACACACCGCCCGUCACACCAUGGAAGCUGGUCACGCCCGAAGUCAUUACCUCAACCCUUCGGGGAGGGGGAUGCCUAAGGUAGGACUGGUGACUGGGGUGAAGUCGUAACAAGGUAGCCGUACCGGAAGGUGUGGCUGGAUCACCUCCUUUUUAGGGAGACCUAAUCCACUCAGAAUCUCGAAAGCAAACAGCCAAUAGAGAAUGAGAGGGUCUAGC
rnacentral:rRNA from 1 species